CUCUCUACUUUCUUCUUGCAACACACCAUGUCCAAAGAACAAAUUUCAACAGCUCUACGAAUCUGGUCACUUCCGAAGAUUCUACAAUUACAUCGCGAAGCUCUACGAAUACGGCGAGCAACUCAAUAGCUCCAAAGAACAAAUCUCAGAUCUUUAGGGAUUUUGUGUAUUGUGUUUUUACUCGACUGAAGAAAUACCUACUUACUUGAUCUACUUGGCAACUGAUGACACCUUUUUAGCACAGGGAGGCAAUUGCUAACAAACAUGGAGUUAGUGACUUAAUUUUCAUCUAAAGCUUCCUUCAUUUUGGGGCAAUUUUGGUGUUUGAUUUGGUGCUUAAAGCUUCUUUUUAUGUAGAAGGGUAACAAUAAUACCUAAUUCAAGAGUCCAUUUUGUGACUCAAGUGGUGUGAAUGAAUGUAAAAAAAGAGUAAAGUGCUAGACCAAGAACAAUAUUGAGUAGUGAUUUCACGGACACUUCUGAUCCGCCUAUCAUCGUGAACCCUUAUGAUCACCGUCGUGAUUGUGAGCGUUGUUAAGAACUAUACACUACAGUUUCCAAUUUGCAACAGCCUUGCAACAUCACCAACCGUUUUGCUCCGUUAGAAGAUUUGAGACCACGGUUGCAACAACUCAGUUUCACAUGUGACUCUUUUGUAUUCAAAGAGAGCUGCAUAAACUUUGGAAAAGCUGGAUGAAUAGUUAAGAAUUGCUUCUCUGCAUGAUGAGGCGAGGGAUCUGUAUAAAUUUUGGUAGAACCGGAAGAAUAUACUAAACCUAAUUCUAUUUAAUGAAGAGGGAGAUCAACCCCUUAUUGACACUUUCACUUUUUUUUUUUGUCUACAACCUUCAUAUGAAUGAAGGUUGAAAUAUGUGAAUCUGUAUAAUAUUACAAACAUUUGAAUGAAUAAAAGAGUUAAUAUAUUUGUCUCUUGCAUAUAAA